rnacentral:lncRNA from 1 species
GCAAUCGAAUUAAAUUCUUUAAUUCGAUCAAACCAACAAGUCAAGAUUGAUAUCUAGCAACGUAUCAUGACUUCUCAAAAGAUAUAAAAUUUAAUAAAAAUAUCAAAUAUACCUUUCAGUGAUAAGUUAUCAUACAAUUCAAUCCUUCGAUCAUCUCUGUACCCUGAAUAUGUUCAUAAGUAUGAAAUUAUGUUAAACUCAAACACAUAUUCAUAUCAAAUCUCAAUUAAAUAAUGAUGAU